CUUUGAUUCAGAUACAUUGCUCACUUUCCUUUUGUUAUUCUAUUUCAUAACGUAGAGUCUUAGCCUCCGGCUCCCACAUCCUCAUGUAUAGAUUCAAUUUGGAUUUAAACAAUGGGUAGUAUUGGAGAAGACUUAAAAAGCAAGAUACAAAGAAGGGAAAAAUCAGCAUAUUUGUCUCUCACUUUCUGCCCUUAGCGGUGUCUGGCUCAAACAGUGGAUACACGUGUCUUCCAUGGUUCCAUAUACCAUCAGGAUAUUUUUGCUAUGACUCCAGCUGGCUCAUAAGCAGUGAGCCUGGCUAGAAGAAAAAAGAAAGCAGCUCCUUUGUUUCCCUGGUUGCAGAAGAAUCCCUGAGGAGGAACCAGAUGGAUCCUGUUACAGGAAAGCAGUUCAGGCUGCCACAUGGGCUCCCAAAUGGCUCACUGCAAAUUCUACAAAAAGAGUGUUUCCAACCUGCUGCAUCAAAAGAAAGUUUUAACUCUGUGAGAUGAAUCCACACAUCACAAAGGGUAUUCACAGAUAGUUUCAUUCUAGUUUAGAUUGUGGGAUAUUCGGUUUUUCACUAUAGGCCUCAAUGGGCUCCCAAAUAUCUCUGUGCAGAUUCUACAAAAAGAGUGUUUCCAACCUGCAGAAUCAAACAAAAAAGUUAAACUCUGUGUGAUUUAUCCACACAUUGGAAAGCAUUUUCACACAUACCUUUUUUCUAGUUUUUGUCACAGAAUAUUCGGUUUUUCACUAUAGACAUAAAAGGGCUCCAAAAUGUCCUUUCGCAGAUUCAACAAAAAGACUGUUUCCAACAUGCUGAAUCAAAAGAAAGGUUUAACUCUGUGAGUUGAAUCCACACAUUGCAAAGCAUUUUCAGAGCUAGCUUCUUUCCAGUUUUUGUUGAGGGAUAUUCAGUUUUUUUCACUCUAUGCUUCAAUCGGCUCCCAAAUGUCCCUUUGUAGAUUCUACAAAAAAAAAGUGAUCCCAACCUGCUGAAUGAAAAUAAAGGUUUAUCUCUGUGAGAUGAUUCCAACAUCACAAAGCAUUUUCAAGGAAAGCUUCUUUCUAGUUUUUAUCAUGUGAUAUGAGUUUUUCACUACAGGCCUCAAUGGGCUCCCAAAUGUCACUGCACAGGUUCUACAAAAAGAGUGUUUCCAACCUAGUGAAUAAAAAAAAGGUUUAGCUCUGUUUGAUUUAUCUACACAUCAGAAAGCGUU
rnacentral:lncRNA from 1 species